UACGUAGGUGGCGAGCGUUGUCCGGAUUUACUGGGCGUAAAGAGCGCGCAGGCGGUCGUUCAAGUCGCGUGUGAAAGCCCCCGGCUCAACUGGGGAGGGUCACGCGAUACUGAUCGACUCGAAGGCAGGAGAGGGAAGUGGGAUUCCCGGUGUAGUGGUGAAAUGCGUAGAUAUCGGGAGGAACACCAGUGGCGAAGGCGACUUCCUGGCCUGUUCUUGACGCUGAGGCGCGAAAGCUAGGGGAGCAAACGGG
rnacentral:rRNA from 1 species